GCCUACUUCAACAAGACUGGUUGAGGCGGCGGAGCCCCGCGCGCUUUUCCCUGGAAAACACGUAGAGGCAGAUGCCGGUCCCCGGAGCCGGCUACCUCCCUCGCCCCGGGAGGGACUGCGCUUCCAACCAACAUUAUUUCUACCCACACUCUCCUAAAUGAACAGCACCACCUGCCGCGUCAGUCGUUCAGUCUUCGUGGUGUUUUACCAUGUCCAACAGCCACUCCAAAGGUUCCUCUUGCCCUGCUUCCUUCUCCUGGCAAACUCUCCUUAUCACUGAAAGCCUAAGUCCAAAGUCAGGCCUCCUCUAAGGCCUGAUGGAGCCCUUCACUUCCACCUCUCCACACCUGCUACACUCCUAUCCUAAGGUAAGGGCAGCUCUACCGAAGGACACCAGUAACACCUUAUUUGCAGCACCCCAUCUACUCCCCUGGGCUUUUGUUGACUGGCUGCAACUGGGAACUCUGACUACACCAACUUCCAGAAUGACCUUUUGGUCCCUCUGAUAACGCCAAGGAGCCACUGGGCCCAGCUGUGUCUCUAACCCCUCUUGUGCUCUUUGUUAAAGACAGAGCAGGCCUCAGGCUCACAGCAUGAGCUACAGGGCAGCGGCUAUACUGAGGUUUCAUUCCAUUUAUUUUAAUGAUUCUACCUGUUUGUGACAACUGAUUCAGGUUUUCUAUUUAUCAUGAUGAUAUAGUUUCCUUUUAAAACAUCGCAUAGAUUACAUGUUCAUAGUGCAAGCAUCACUUUCUUAAAGAAGUCAUCGCUGCUUCUCAGAGUCUAUUCAGGACCUCCCUUUUUCUCUUCCCCUCCCACUGUAAGUCCUCAUACUCCCCAUACUUCUUCAUUUGCAAUGGCAAAAAUAUUUUUGAGUGUAUUUUUCACUUAUUCAGUUGAGGCAGAAGAUGUAGGGGAAGAAGGACCAAGAGGCUCCCUGCAGGGGCUAAGAGUUCGUGCUGAUUUGAUUUUGUUGUCCCUACCAGGCCUUAAGUCCCAAGAGGGCUGGGGGCUUGCUGUUCUGCCCACCUUUGGUGUCUCAUUUAGCACACAGGUCCUAGCCAGGGAAACUCAAUAUUUGCUGAGGGAAUCACAAAAUUAAAGUCUACUCUUCAUUCCCCCAGUCCAAGCAUACCAGGAGGGAUCCACGGGUUGGGUGGUUGAUAUUCUUCUGGGUGGUGUGCAUACAUGUAUCCAUGUCCCUCUGGAAGCAAUUAAGGACCCUUGUCCCUGCCGUGCAGUCUGCAGGCUCUCGGCCCCUGCAACCUGGGGGGCUGUAGGCUGAGAAGGGAUUAGUUUGGAAGACAAGCAAAAGAGCUAGGCAGGUGGAAGGAGGGGCGAGGUUCCCAGGAGGUCCAGGCAGAGAGGGGAAUGGAAAGGAAAGAGGAUAAUGGAGAAAAACCGUCCCUGCGGCCCAGGGCCUUGUCACUUGUUUUCAGUUGUUAGGGGGUUUGUUCCUUUGAUGUGAUAAACAUCGCCUGUAGACCCCCUCGUCCCCAGAAAACAGCCCAAUUUCAGGGGUCUUACUGACGCUCGGCCUAAUCCUUGAAUGCCCAGUUAAGAAUCCCCGGUAUUAUUGUUCAACACUCCUGUUUUACCUAGGUGGACCCUGAGCCCCAGAGUGUGUAAACGGCUCGCCCAAAGUCACAAAGCAAGUCAAUAGCAAAGUUGCAGGGGCUCAGAGGACAAGAACGCCGACUUCCGCCCAGCUUCUGCGGGUUGGGGUACCGCGAGGCAGGCAACGCCUACCUGGCUGUGUGCGGAGGGAGGCCGGCAGGCUGUGGGCGUGGCUUACUGGCGCCCCGCCUCCGCCGGGCGGGGCCUUCGACCUGCACGGCUCCAACAUGGCUCCGCGGCUGUGCAGCAUCUCUGCAGCCGCGCGGCUGCUAAUGGGGGGCCCGGGGCCCCGCGCUGGGGAUGCGGCUGCUGCACGCUUCUAUUCCAAGGAC